rnacentral:rRNA from 1 species
UACGUAGGGUGCAAGCGUUAAUCGGAAUUACUGGGCGUAAAGCGUGCGCAGGCGGUUUUGUAAGUCUGACGUGAAAUCCCCGGGCUUAACCUGGGAAUUGCGUUGGAGACUGCAAGGCUGGAGUCUGGCAGAGGGGGGUAGAAUUCCACGUGUGAGCAGUGAAAUGCGUAGAGAUGUGGAGGAACACCGAUGGCGAAGGCAGCCCCCUGGGUCAAGAUUGACGCUCAUGCACGAAAGCGUGGGGAGCAAACAGGAUUAGAGUACCCCAGUGAGU